GGACUACCGGGGUAUCUAAUCCCGUUUGCUCCCCUGGCUUUCGUGCCUCAGCGUCAGUUGAGACCCAGUGUGUCGCUUUCGCCACCGGCGUUCCUUCCGAUAUCAACACAUUUCACCGCUCCACCGGAAGUUCCACACACCCCUGCCUCACUCCAGCCAUCCAGUUUAGGGCGCAAUUCCCCGGUUGAGCCGGGGGCUUUCACACCCUACUUAGACAGCCGCCUACGCACCCUUUAAGCCCAGUGAUUCCGAAUAACGUUUGCACAGUUCGUAUUACCGCGGCUGCUGGCAC
rnacentral:rRNA from 1 species